rnacentral:tRNA from 1 species
GCGGGUGUAGCUCAGUUGGUUGGAGCGCCUGGUUGUGGUCCAGGAGGCCGUGGGUUCAAAUCCCAUCACUCGCUCCA